AGAGUUUGAUCAUGGCUCAGAUUGAACGCUGGCGGCAUGCCUUACACAUGCAAGUCGAACGGCAGCGCGGACUUCGGUCUGGCGGCGAGUGGCGAACGGGUGAGUAAUGUAUCGGAACGUGCCCUAGAGUGGGGGAUAACUAUCCGAAAGGAUAGCUAAUACCGCACAUUCUAUGCGUAGGAAAGCGGGGGAUCUUCGGACCUCGCGCUCUAGGAGCGGCCGAUAUCAGAUUAGCUAGUUGGUGGGGUAAAGGCCUACCAAGGCGACGAUCUGUAGCGGGUCUGAGAGGAUGAUCCGCCACACUGGGACUGAGACACGGCCCAGACUCCUACGGGAGGCAGCAGUGGGGAAUUUUGGACAAUGGGCGCAAGCCUGAUCCAGCCAUGCCGCGUGAGUGAAGAAGGCCUUCGGGUUGUAAAGCUCUUUCGGCCGGGAAGAAAUCGCACGGGCUAAUACCUUGUGUGGAUGACGGUACCGGACUAAGAAGCACCGGCUAACUACGUGCCAGCAGCCGCGGUAAUACGUAGGGUGCGAGCGUUAAUCGGAAUUACUGGGCGUAAAGCGUGCGCAGGCGGUUUGGUAAGACAGGCGUGAAAUCCCCGGGCUCAACCUGGGAACUGCGCUUGUGACUGCCUCACUAGAGUACGGCAGAGGGGGGUGGAAUUCCACGUGUAGCAGUGAAAUGCGUAGAGAUGUGGAG
rnacentral:rRNA from 1 species